rfam:Herpetosiphon aurantiacus DSM 785, complete genome.
UUGAGCCGGAUGCGGGGAAACUCGCACGUCCGGUUCUUAGGGGGCGGGAGUGUAGUAAUACGCUCCUGCUACCCGAC